rnacentral:rRNA from 1 species
UGAACGCUGGCGGUAGGCCUAACACAUGCACGUCGAACGGCAGCACAGUAAGAGCUUGCUCUUACGGGUGGCGAGUGGCGGACGGGUGAGGAAUACAUCGGAAUCUACUUUUUCGUGGGGGAUAACGUAGGGAAACUUACGCUAAUACCGCAUACGACCUACGGGUGAAAGCAGGGGAUCUUCGGACCUUGCGCGAUUGAAUGAGCCGAUGUCGGAUUAGCUAGUUGGCGGGGUAAAGGCCCACCAAGGCGACGAUCCGUAGCUGGUCUGAGAGGAUGAUCAGCCACACGGGAACUGAGACACGGUCCAGACUCCUACGGGAGGCAGCAGUGGGGAAUAUUGGACAAUGGGCGCAAUCCUGAUCCAGCCAGACCGCGUGGGUGAAGAAGGCCUUCGGGUUGUAAAGCCCUUUUGUUGGGAAAGAAAAGCAGCUGGUUAAUACCCCGCUGUUCUGACGGUACCCAAAGAAUAAGCACCGGCUAACUUCGUG